AACUCACGUUGCUAUUUAUAGUUAUCUUGUUUUGAAAACGGGAUAUUCGGUAUUGAGACCGAGUGAGUUA
rnacentral:tRNA from 1 species